AUGGCGUCGUCCAGCAAGCCCUGCGCCGCCUCCGUCCUCCUCCUGCUGCUGGCCCUCGCCGUCGCCACGGCGGCCGACGCGACGAAGAAGAGCAUCGCGUCGGAGCCCAGGCCGUCGGGACCCAUCUUCCCGAGGCCGGCGGCGAAGGACAUCGUCGCGUCGGAGCCCACCAUCCCGAGGCCGUCGGCGGAGGUGGACGUGUCGGCGACGUGCAUGGGGUCGCUGCUGGAGCUGAGCCCGUGCCUGGCCUUCUUCAGGGACGCCGGCACGUCCAAGGCGCCGGCGGGGUGCUGCAAGGGCCUGGGCAGCAUCGUCCGAGACCAGCCGGCGUGCCUGUGCCACAUCUUCAACCACACCCUGGAGCGGGCCAUCGGCGUCGGCAUCCCCGUCAACCGCGCGCUCGCCCUCGUCCGCGACGUCUGCGGCCUCACGCCGCCCAAGGUUGCCAGCUGCGCCAACGGCGGCGCCGUGCCGCCGCUGUACGUGUGCCCGGCGCCCUCGGCCUGA
rnacentral:rRNA from 1 species